CAGAACCCUAAUCAUCCAAUUCUACCCUCUCUUUUUUUUCAAUUUCUCUGAGUUGAUCCAACAAUGGAUGAAGAAUAUGAUGUGAUUGUGCUUGGUACAGGUCUCAAGGAAUGCAUCCUUAGCGGUCUUCUAUCUGUUGAUGGUCUUAAGGUUCUGCACAUGGACAGAAAUGACUACUAUGGAGGAGAAUCAACUUCCCUCAAUCUUGUCCAGCUUUGGAAGAGGUUUAAAGGAAGUGAUAAACCUCCAGCUGAACUGGGUUCUAGUAGAGAUUACAAUGUUGACAUGAUUCCUAAGUUUAUUAUGGCAAAUGGUGCUCUUGUGCGGGUGCUAAUUCAUACCGAUGUCACAAAAUAUUUAUACUUUAAAGCUGUUGAUGGAAGCUUUGUG
rnacentral:misc_RNA from 1 species